AGGUAGCUCAAUGGUGGAGCACUCGGCUGUUAACCGAUAGGCUGUGGGUUCGAGUCCCACCCU
rnacentral:tRNA from 3 species